rnacentral:tRNA from 1 species
AUGACGUCGCCCUUACACGGCGAAAAUCCAGGGUUCAAAUCCCUGUGGGCCCA